UACGAAGGGGGGCUAGCGUUGCUCGGAAUCACUGGGCGUAAAGGGUGCGUAGGCGGGUCUUUAAGUCAGGGGUGAAAUCCUGGAGCUCAACUCCAGAACUGCCUUUGAUACUGGGUAUCUGGAGUAUGGAAGAGGUGAGUGGAAUUCCGAGUGUAGAGGUGAAAUUCGUAGAUAUUCGGAGGAACACCAGUGGCGAAGGCGGCUCACUGGUCCAUUACUGACGCUGAGGUGCGAAAGCGUGGGGGAGCAAACAGG
rnacentral:rRNA from 1 species